GUCGGCCGUAAGAGGUAACUCAAGUCCGUCUUAAGCCCUAACGUUGUCGAGAAGUAUCGCCGGACCGUGCAGGCGACUUCGAACGGCGGCAGCGAAGACAGACGAGAACACGUUUUGAGUCGACAUUUCUAAACGUGGAUUGUUGGAUUGACUGUUGGUAAAUGGGAGUUCGCAAAACUCGCGGAAAUGAAGAGUUUUUUUGCUUGUAAAACGAUAAAAAAGGCAAAUUUUUUGAACUUGAACUGAACGAAUGAGCGGUCGACGUUGCAAGGUACUUCCUGAGUUCGGUCCUGCAGAAAGAUGGUGGAGCUUGUUUUUGAAGACAUUUUCACUUUGACCAGACUGGAUCCAGAUAGUAAAAAGUUUGAUAAAGGGAAAUCUAUGCUUCUUUUGGUGGACUACCGAUGAUGCUGAAGGGGUAUCCUCCUGCAGCUCAGUUCGAGUUGGACCAAAGGCUUUUUCUUUUGAUGAGAAAAGUGUAAAUCGUACUGUCUAACUACACUGAACCGAAUGAGACUUAUUUGUUGAGAUUACAACUGGAGACUUUGUUGGUCUGUGCUAUUGCCUUUUGAAUAGCUAAAAUACUUUUGACCUCGACAUGAAACUUAUUAUGAAUGAAGAUCUUCUGGGAAGUUGGUUC